UGGGCAAUUCUACUGGAAGCAGGUUUGAGC
rnacentral:piRNA from 1 species